GGUUAAGCGACUAAGCGUACACGGUGGAUGCCCUGGCAGUCAGAGGCGAUGAAGGACGUGCUAAUCUGCGAAAAGCGUCGGUAAGGUGAUAUGAACCGUUACAGCCGGCGAUGUCCGAAUGGGGAAACCCAGUGCAAUUCGUUGCACUAUCGUUAACUGAAUACAUAGGUUAACGAGGCGAACCGGGGGAACUGAAACAUCUAAGUACCCCGAGGAAAAGAAAUCAACCGAGAUUCCCCCAGUAGCGGCGAGCGAACGGGGAGGAGCCCAGAGUCUGAAUCAGCUUGUGUGUUAGUGGAACGGUCUGGAAAGUCCGACGGUACAGGGUGAUAGUCCCGUACACCAAAAUGCACAGGCUGUGAACUCGAAGAGUAGGGCGGGACACGUGGUAUCCUGUCUGAAUAUGGGGGGACCAUCCUCCAAGGCUAAAUACUCCUGACUGACCGAUAGUGAACCAGUACCGUGAGGGAAAGGCGAAAAGAACCCCGGCGAGGGGAGUGAAAAAGAACCUGAAACCGUGUACGUACAAGCAGUGGGAGCACCUUCGGGUGUGACUGCGUACCUUUUGUAUAAUGGGUCAGCGACUUAUAUUCUGUAGCAAGGUUAACCGUAUAGGGGAGCCGCAGGGAAACCGAGUCUUAACUGGGCGUUAAGUUGCAGGGUAUAGACCCGAAACCCGGUGAUCUAGCCAUGGGCAGGUUGAAGGUUGGGUAACACUAACUGGAGGACCGAACCGACUAAUGUUGAAAAAUUAGCGGAUGACUUGUGGCUGGGGGUGAAAGGCCAAUCAAACCGGGAGAUAGCUGGUUCUCCCCGAAAGCUAUUUAGGUAGCGCCUCGUGAACUCAUCUUCGGGGGUAGAGCACUGUUUCGGCUAGGGGGUCAUCCCGACUUACCAACCCGAUGCAAACUACGAAUACCGAAGAAUGUUAUCACGGGAGACACACGGCGGGUGCUAACGUCCGUCGUGAAGAGGGAAACAACCCAGACCGCCAGCUAAGGUCCCAAAGUCAUGGUUAAGUGGGAAACGAUGUGGGAAGGCACAGACAGCCAGGAUGUUGGCUUAGAAGCAGCCAUCAUUUAAAGAAAGCGUAAUAGCUCACUGGUCGAGUCGGCCUGCGCGGAAGAUGUAACGGGGCUAAACCAUGCACCGAAGCUGCGGCAGCGACACUAUGUGUUGUUGGGUAGGGGAGCGUUCUGUAAGCCUGCGAAGGUGACCUGUGAGGGUUGCUGGAGGUAUCAGAAGUGCGAAUGCUGACAUAAGUAACGAUAAAGCGGGUGAAAAGCCCGCUCGCCGGAAGACCAAGGGUUCCUGUCCAACGUUAAUCGGGGCAGGGUGAGUCGACCCCUAAGGCGAGGCCGAAAGGCGUAGUCGAUGGGAAACAGGUUAAUAUUCCUGUACUUGGUGUUACUGCGAAGGGGGGACGGAGAAGGCUAUGUUAGCCGGGCGACGGUUGUCCCGGUUUAAGCAUGUAGGCUGGUUGUCCAGGCAAAUCCGGAUAAUCAAGGCUGAGGUGUGAUGACGAGGCACUACGGUGCUGAAGUAACAAAUGCCCUGCUUCCAGGAAAAGCCUCUAAGCAUCAGGUAACACGAAAUCGUACCCCAAACCGACACAGGUGGUCAGGUAGAGAAUACCAAGGCGCUUGAGAGAACUCGGGUGAAGGAACUAGGCAAAAUGGUGCCGUAACUUCGGGAGAAGGCACGCUGGUGUGUAGGUGAAGUCCCUGCGGAUGGAGCUGAGACCAGUCGAAGAUACCAGCUGGCUGCAACUGUUUAUUAAAAACACAGCACUGUGCAAACACGAAAGUGGACGUAUACGGUGUGACGCCUGCCCGGUGCCGGAAGGUUAAUUGAUGGGGUUAUCCGUAAGGAGAAGCUCUUGAUCGAAGCCCCGGUAAACGGCGGCCGUAACUAUAACGGUCCUAAGGUAGCGAAAUUCCUUGUCGGGUAAGUUCCGACCUGCACGAAUGGCGUAAUGAUGGCCAGGCUGUCUCCACCCGAGACUCAGUGAAAUUGAACUCGCUGUGAAGAUGCAGUGUACCCGCGGCAAGACGGAAAGACCCCGUGAACCUUUACUAUAGCUUGACACUGAACAUUGAGCCUUGAUGUGUAGGAUAGGUGGGAGGCUUUGAAGCGUGGACGCCAGUCUGCGUGGAGCCAACCUUGAAAUACCACCCUUUAAUGUUUGAUGUUCUAACGUUGGCCCCUGACCGGGGUUGCGGACAGUGUCUGGUGGGUAGUUUGACUGGGGCGGUCUCCUCCCAAAGCGUAACGGAGGAGCACGAAGGUUAGCUAAUCCUGGUCGGACAUCAGGAGGUUAGUGCAAUGGCAUAAGCUAGCUUGACUGCGAGCGUGACGGCGCGAGCAGGUGCGAAAGCAGGUCAUAGUGAUCCGGUGGUUCUGAAUGGAAGGGCCAUCGCUCAACGGAUAAAAGGUACUCCGGGGAUAACAGGCUGAUACCGCCCAAGAGUUCAUAUCGACGGCGGUGUUUGGCACCUCGAUGUCGGCUCAUCACAUCCUGGGGCUGAAGUAGGUCCCAAGGGUAUGGCUGUUCGCCAUUUAAAGUGGUACGCGAGCUGGGUUUAGAACGUCGUGAGACAGUUCGGUCCCUAUCUGCCGUGGGCGCUGGAGAAUUGAGGGGGGCUGCUCCUAGUACGAGAGGACCGGAGUGGACGCAUCACUGGUGUUCGGGUUGUCAUGCCAAUGGCACUGCCCGGUAGCUAAAUGCGGAAGAGAUAAGUGCUGAAAGCAUCUAAGCACGAAACUUGCCCCGAGAUGAGUUCUCCCUGAGACUUUAAGUCUCCUGAAGGAACGUUGAAGACGACGACGUUGAUAGGCCGGGUGUGUAAGCGCAGCGAUGCGUUGAGCUAACCGGUACUAAUGAACCGUGAGGCUUAACCUU
rnacentral:rRNA from 1 species